UACGUAGGCAGCGAGCGUUGUUCGGAGUUACUGGCGUAAAGGGUGUGUAGGCGGUUGUUUAAGUUUGGUGUGAAAUCUCCCGGCUCAACUGGGAGGGUGCGCCGAAUACUGAAUGACUAGAGUGCGGGAGAGGUGAGUGGAAUUCCUGGUGUAGCGGUGAAAUGCGUAGAUAUCAGGAGGAACACCGGUGGUGUAGACGGCUCACUGGACCGUAACUGACGCUGAGACACGAAAGCGUGGGUAGCAAACAGG
rnacentral:rRNA from 1 species